GGGCUAGUAAAGGUUUCGACAGGGGUUUUGAAACUGGAGAAGCUAUCCGCGGGAUGGUGCGUUAAACCUCAAACUUAAAAGUAAACGCUAACAACGAUUACGAAUUAGCAGCAGCCUAAGCGCUGCAGCCGCCAGCCCGGAUGCACCUGCUCAUCCGGAAUCUGACGCCAUUCUGGCAGGAAACGACACAGUCAAAGCUUUGAGAUUGUGGGCGUAACAUGAAGCUACCGAUUCAGAUUGUUCGUAAACUGAUGGUUUGAUGAGGAAAAUGGGGCAACCCAAAACAGUUUACUAUGAUAGUAGAAGGACAGCGGACGAGCUUUUGGACACGGGUUCGACUCCCGUCUAGUCCACUA
rfam:Butyrivibrio fibrisolvens DSM 3071 genome assembly, contig: EJ22DRAFT_scaffold00001.1